rnacentral:sRNA from 1 species
AAUUUGGAAAUUUGAAUAUCGUAGGCGAAUGUUUCAUUUUCUUUCAAGUAGGCACGGUUCUGCAUAGUAUUUAGUAACCAUAAGGUUU